AGAGACGCUAGGCCGGCACUGCCUAGGUGGGCCGGGCGGUGCGAGGGUCGCCUUUCAGCCUUUACCUCUACCCACUGAAAUGGAGUAGGUCGGUGAGCGCCGAUCUGCUGGAGAAUCUCAUUAUCCCAUCGGCGCUCUGCCUGCUCCUGGCCUCCAAGCCUCUGAAGCCCCUCGGGUUUCAGCUGCCGGCUACCCUCGAGCCCGUGGUGCCCACGAGAGAGGCGACUUUACGUCAGCGGCCCUGGGCUGAGAUUUGAGAACGCGACCAAGUGGAGAAUGUUGGAGCCAGAUUUUAAAAUCCUUGUCUUCCUUCUGCGUGCUACUUGAUCUAAAUGAGAUACGGCAAAGUCACAGAACCUGUUUUUAUGUUUUUGCCUGAUUCAUACGGGCUUCUCCGGUGAAGAUGGGCCUGAAGUAACGCUUGGGUUGCUUCUGACGUUAUAACUCAUCCUGUAGCUGCAGCAACCGUGGUCCUUGCAACCUCAUAAAAAUGUUGCCAGCAUUGUUUCGAUAGUGCUGCUUAAUUCUUGGAAGGUUCUUCGGACUUCACACAUUCCAGCAGUAGCUCUCUCAGCUCCUGUCCUGCACAGCUUUGAAGUGCUGAACCACAAAGCAGCAGCAGCUUCAGCCAUCCCCUGGGCCAGACAGGCAUUUCCUCCUGUGUCUUUUCAUAGAUGAAGAAAAUCUUCCCCUCAUUCCUGGUGGUCAGAGCUGGAUAAAAUAUCCACCCUUCAACCAAUAUCAGACAAAUGACACAGAUCAGAAUAAACAGAACAUGCUGACGAAUUGGAUGUGAAGCAUGAGAAGAAAUGGAGAGGACCAAGAUGACCUGGAUUUCUGGCUUAUGCAACUGCAUAGAAU
rnacentral:lncRNA from 1 species